UACAGAGGGUGCAAGCGUUAAUCGGAAUUACUGGGCGUAAAGCGCACGUAGGCGGUUUUUUAAGUCAGAUGUGAAAGCCCCGGGCUCAACCUGGGAAUUGCAUUUGAAACUGGAAAACUAGAGUGUGUGAGAGGGGGGUAGAAUUCCAAGUGUAACGGUGAAAUGCGUAGAGAUUUGGAGGAAUACCAGUGGCGAAGGCAAUCCCCUGGGCCUGCACUGACGCUCAUGCACGAAAGCGUGGGGAGCAAACAGGAUUAGAUACCCUGGUAGU
rnacentral:rRNA from 1 species